rnacentral:lncRNA from 1 species
GCUGAAUAACAAACAGCCCCAGAAAUUUGUGGCUUAACAAAACAACCAUUUACUUAGCUCAUGAUUCUGUAGGUCAGUAAUUUCAGCUCAUCCAGGUGACCCUUUGGGUCUUGACUGGGCUCCCUCAUGUGUCUAAGGUCAGCUGCCAGAUGGGCAGCUCAGCCACUGGGGGCUUCUGGCUGUCAGCAGGGCCAGCAGAAAAACUGCAGGAUAGCCUGGGCAUGCAUAUAAGGAGGGGGAGAAUUGUGCCUAUUUUUGCAACUAACACUGAUACUAUUGUGUGCCUCUAUAAUAAGACACAAAAAUAUUGAGGGUGGAAAAGAAGACAGAAAUCUUGACAUUACAGCUAUUUCUUUAUUACUGUUCUUACUGACAGAAUCAGUUUCACAAGAAGCUUAUUUUCUUUUCACCAGCCUAAAUCACCUUAGCAUAUAAGAUGAUAUAAAAUAAUAUAUAUUAUUAUCUAUUAUGUGUAUAUAGGAAGAAAUAUAUUAAAUAUAUAGUUGGAUUUAUAUAUUAUAGAAAUAUAUAAUGGAUUUCUAUAUUAUAGAAAUAUAUAUUUAUAUGUUUACUAUAUUUCUGCUUUAAUAUGUAUUUAAAAUCUUUCUUCUCAAUUAUAAAUAUAAUAAUUAUUAUAUAUUAUAUAUUAUAAUUCUUAUUAUAAAUAUAUUAAGAAAUAAAUUUCUUAAUAUAUAAAUAAAUAUAUUAGAUGAAAAAAUUUGGUACCAAAAUGAUCAUGUAGGAAAGCAGUCCGAUGCUGGCAAAAUAAACUACUCUGGGUAUAAUUAGCCACCUGGCAUUCAAUAAGUGCAGUUGACUAACUGGCUGGCUUACAAGUGGAGGCUGGAACUAUUUCACUCUGUUUCCUCCCUGAUACCAUUUGCGGAGAAAAUUUUUUAGGCUUAAUUUUAAGGGCAAAAAUAGGAAUACGAGGAAAACAUAUGAAAUCUCCCAAAAGUAGUUGCUUGGUCAUCCAGGCUAGAGUGCAGUGGUGGUAACACGGCUUAUUGCAGCCUUGACCUCCUGGGCUCAGGUGAUUCUCCUGCCUUAGCCCCCCAAGUAGCUGGGACUACAGGCAAGUGCACCAUGCCUGGCUCAUUUUUGUAUUUUAUUGUAGAGACGGGGUUUUGCCAUGUUGCUCAGGCUGGUUUCAAAAUCCUGAGCUCAAGCGAUCCUCCUUCCUUGGCCUUCCAAAGUGCUGGGAUUACAGGCGUCAAUCACCUUGCCCUAAAAUAAUUUAAUGACUGGCAGAAACUUGUUUUGGCCUAAGCCAUUUAAAAAACUUUCAAAAGUACAAACAACGUAUUUGCUAUAGCAUAUUUAUUCCAUAAUUUUGGUUUUCCUUGUCAGAAGAAUAUAUAGUUUCUCCAUAUUUAUCUGAAAGGGAUAGAUAUUUAACCUUGUUGAGGGGCACUUAAAUGUAGUUCCAUGAUUUAUUUUUGUGUUUAUGUCUUUAAUUUUAAGAUCAGUUCAUUACGAUCAUUGAUUGAUUCCUGCCAGUGGCUUUGGAAAGCACAUGCCUAUUAAGUCAAUAAAGGAACAAUGCUAGGAUGACCUGAAUAUAAAUAUUUAAUUAGUUCAAGUAUAAUCUUGGUGCGGCUUGCUUUCUUAGAUCUGGAUAUGUCUGUGUUUACAUAACCAUGUAAAAGUGGCCAAAAUAUGCUUUUCGAAGUUAUAGGCAGCUGGUUAUGUUCCCUAGUGGCACUCAGAAUUCCCAGCUGUUCUGGUACUAAGCCAAGUGUAACCCUGAAUUUGAUUAGAAACAUUAAUAUUAGAAAAACUGACUACGUGAUUAUGUCCAACACUAGGCAUUACCACAGACCUCGGACAACUCCAAUGAGAAAGAAAAAGUCAAUUGAAUGAGAAAAGAGUAAAAAGAAUCAGAGUUAGGAAGCUCUUAAUAGUCCACAGUUUUACCGAGUAGACAUUAAGUCUUAUACCCCUUAUCCAUUAUGUGCAGAAAUAACAUUACUUCUAUCCAGUGUAUGUGAGGAUGUAUAAAAAUUUACUUAGAUUUUGCAUGAAGUCAUAACAGACAUAAAACACAUACCAAAAAUUUAGACAUUUCUUCCAUAUCAUUUAGGAUAGCUGAGAAGUCCGUAUCAUUUUCAAUGCUACCAAUGGAUGACUGGAA